rnacentral:lncRNA from 1 species
GGAGAAUCAGAAAAGUUUUGGUAGGGGGAGAAUCAGAAAGGACCAUGUGCUAAUUCACUUCUUGAUGAAAAGAGUUUACAAGAUGUCUCAGAUAAGGCUUUCUAAAGUACUGCAGGAACCUAUUUGCACUACUGAAGUCAUUCAGAUCUGAGCAAUAAACACUUAUGUAACAAGUCUGGGAAGAAAAGGAUUUUCUGCAGAAUCAGUCACUUUCCUUUAUUUCCCUUGCCUUCCUCAAGAUUCAGGUAUUUCUUACGGCCCAAAGGAGAACUAAUUUCACUGGCAAGUAUCUCUUUGGAGAUCCUCUGGCAAGUUUUACAGUACCAUAGGGUUUCUUAAAAAGCUUUUCCACUGCCUGAGAGCAGGUAUUUUCUCACCUGCAGCAAAACACCAGCUAUUUGACAUCUCGUUCCUCAAGGUGCCUCAUUCCCGCUACACUAACAUCAUAUCUCCGAAUGACUGGGACUGCGACUGAUUUCUGUGACCAGCAUUACCCAAGCAGAGGGAGCCACCAGGCUUUCCCAGAAACCUGAAAUGGUCACAUCCAAGCAUCUCCACGCACUAUCCAAAAGCAAGGACACACUGCCACAGCGAACGGACUCCACAUGUCCUUUCCUACGUGCUGAGACAAAUCAGAAGAACUCAGAAGACCACCCAGCUAUGCCAUGGUGAAACUGGUGCAGGUAGUGCAAUGAGGUAAUUCCCACUCAAUAUUCCUGAUUUGUUUUCCAACUGUACAAGAUGGUCCUGCCACUUCACCUUGGCCUCAAACACUCUGCUUUUGGUGCUUCUUGACCCGAUUCCCACACGUGUGACUUUUAAACUCUAUUGUAACCUCUCAGGAUUAGCAGGGAUGGGAUCAGACAGGAACAAUCUGCCAGUACUUCAUUCAGAGGGAUAUGGGUUGCAUGGGGCUAGAAGGCAUGAUAAGAUAGGCAGAUGAUCAGGUCCUAUGAGAUGCUGGAAAAAGCUGCAAGAAAGAAAAAAAAAUGGAGCAGCAGAAGAGAAAAGCCUGUGUCGUGAAAGCGCUG